rnacentral:rRNA from 1 species
AGUAACGCGUAGGUAAUCUAUCCUUACAUUUGGGAUAACAUUGGGAAACUGGUGCUAAUACCGAAUGGUCUUCUUUGCUGCGGGGCGAAGGAGUAAAGGUGGCCUCUUCAUGAAAGCUACCGUGUAGGGAUGAGCCUGCGUACCAUUAGCUAGUAGGUGGGGUAACGGCCCACCUAGGCUACGAUGGUUAGCGGGUCUGAGAGGAUGAUCCGCCACACUGGAACUGAAACACGGACCAG